AUUUUCUUGAAUCAAUUUGAAAAGUUGUGAGAUGCUAGAAAGAAAAGCUACUAAUGAGAGAGAUUGCAUUUGUGGAGAAAGCAAUGGGAUCAAAAGUCAAAUACACUACUAACAACCUUUAAAUCCUGAUUUCAUACUAUUUUUGAAACAUCUAUGCUCUCACCAGGUACCCAGGGCAUGAGAGCAAUGGAGAGGAGAGAUUACAUCAAGAUAGGUGAAAACCCAAGGAAUUCAAAUCCUUGUU